rnacentral:rRNA from 1 species
AGAUUGAACGCUGGCGGCAUGCCUAACACAUGCAAGUCGAACGGGAGUAGCAAUACUCUAGUGGCGGACGGGUGAGGAAUACGUAGGAAUUUGCCCUUAAGUGGGGGAUAACCCGGGGAAACCCGGAUUAAUACCGCGAUGACCUCGAAAGAGCAAAGUGGGGGAUCGCAAGACCUCACGCUUUUGGAGAAGCCUACGUCGGAUUAGCUAGUUGGUGAGGUAAUGGCUCACCAAGGCGACGAUCCGUAACUGGUCUGAGAGGAUGAUCAGUCACACCGGAACUGAGACACGGUCCGGACUCCUACGGGA